GCCGCGUGUGUGAAGAAGGCCUUCGGGUUGUAAAGCACUUUCGGCCGGAACGAAAUCGUCUCCGUUAAUACCGGGGAUGGAUGACGGUACCGGAAGAAGAAGCACCGGCUAACUACGUGCCUGCAGCCGCGGUAAUACGUAGGGUGCGAGCGUUAAUCGGAAUUACUGGGCGUAAAGUGUGCGCAGGUGGCCGCGCAUGUCGAGUGUGAAAUCCCCGGGCUUAACUUGGGAAUUGCGCUCGAAACUACGUGGCUCGAGUGUGGCAGAGGAAGGUGGAAUUCCACGUGUAGCGGUGAAAUGCGUAGAGAUGUGGAGGAACACCGAUGGCGAAGGCAGCCUUCUGGGCCAACACUGACGCUCAUGCACGAAAGCGUGGGGAGCAAACAGGAUUAGAUACCCUGGUAGUCCACGCCCUAAACGAUGAUGACUAGUUGUUGGGGGAGUUAAAUCCCUUAGUAACGCAGCUAACGCGUGAAGUCAUCCGCCUGGGGAGUACGGUCGCAAGAUUA
rnacentral:rRNA from 1 species